rnacentral:misc_RNA from 1 species
GAAAUGCGAUACGCAAUGCGAAUUGCAGAAUCCGCGAGUCAUCAGAUCUUUGAACGCAAUUGGCGCCGAGUCCUCUCGGCAUGUUUGUUUCAGUGUGGAAGGAAUCACAAAUCAAAAUGCGAUUGAAAGAAAAAAGUCUAACGGCUAAAUUUUUUCUCUCGUUAAACAUGUCCGGUGUCUGCGCGAAUUUUGGUGACGGUCACCCAACAAACGAAGUAGUCUCUUUUAAGAGAUCUCGUUUGAUCUAAGCGGCGGUUUGCUCCCUCAAUUCAACAAGCGCAGCCCAACAACAUAAAAAAAAAUUACUUCAAUUACACCUGAAAUCAAGCAAGACGACCCGCUGAACUUAA